rnacentral:rRNA from 1 species
CCUACGGGUGGCAGCAGUGGGGGAUAUUGGACAAUGGGGGAAACCCUGAUCCAGCGACGCCGCGUGAGUGAAGAAGUAUUUCGGUAUGUAAAGCUCUGUCAGCAGGGAAGAAAGAAAUGACGGUACCUGACCAAGAAGCCCCGGCUAACUACGUGCCAGCAGCCGCGGUAAUACGUAGGGGGCAAGCGUUAUCCGGAUUUACUGGGUGUAAAGGGAGCGUAGACGGCGAUGCAAGCCAGAUGUGAAAGCCCGGGGCUCAACCCCGGGACUGCAUUUGGAACUGUGUGGCUGGAGUGUCGGAGAGGCAGGCGGAAUUCCUAGUGUAGCGGUGAAAUGCGUAGAUAUUAGGAGGAACACCAGUGGCGAAGGCGGCCUGCUGGACGAUGACUGACGUUGAGGCUCGAAAGCGUGGGGAGCAAACAGGAUUAGAUACCCUUGUAGUC